AGUGAACGCUGGCGGUAGGCCUAACACAUGCAAGUCGAAUGGCAGCACAGUAAGAGCUUGCUCUUACGGGUGGCGAGUGGCGGACGGGUGAGGAAUACAUCGGAAUCUACUUUUUCGUGGGGGAUAACGUAGGGAAACUUACGCUAAUACCGCAUACGACCUACGGGUGAAAGUAGGGGAUCUUCGGACCUUGCGCGAUUGAAUGAGCCGAUGUCGGAUUAGCUAGUUGGCGGGGUAAAGGCCCACCAAGGCGACGAUCCGUAGCUGGUCUGAGAGGAUGAUCAGCCACACUGGAACUGAGACACGGUCCAGACUCCUACGGGAGGCAGCAGUGGGGAAUAUUGGACAAUGGGCGCAAGCCUGAUCCAGCCAUACCGCGUGGGUGAAGAAGGCCUUCGGGUUGUAAAGCCCUUUUGUUGGGAAAGAAAAGCAGCAGGUUAAUACCCCGCUGUUCUGACGGUACCCAAAGAAUAAGCACCGGCUAACUUCGUG
rnacentral:rRNA from 1 species